UACGAAGGGGGCUAGCGUUGUUCGGAAUUACUGGGCGUAAAGCGCGCGCAGGCGGUCUUCCAAGUCAGUGGUGAAAGCCCGGAGCUCAACUCCGGAAAUGCCAUUGAAACUGUGAGACUGGAGUACGAGAGAGGUGAGUGGAAUUCCCAGUGUAGAGGUGAAAUUCGUAGAUAUUCGGAAGAACACCAGUGGCGAAGGCGACUUACUGGACACAUAUUGACGCUGAGGUGCGAAAGCGUGGGGAGCAAACAGG
rnacentral:rRNA from 1 species